AUUGAACGCUGGCGGCAGGCCUAACACAUGCAAGUCGAGCGGAUGAAGGGAGCUUGCUCCUGGAUUCAGCGGCGGACGGGUGAGUAAUGCCUAGGAAUCUGCCUGGUAGUGGGGGAUAACGUCCGGAAACGGGCGCUAAUACCGCAUACGUCCUGAGGGAGAAAGUGGGGGAUCUUCGGACCUCACGCUAUCAGAUGAGCCUAGGUCGGAUUAGCUAGUUGGUGGGGUAAAGGCCUACCAAGGCGACGAUCCGUAACUGGUCUGAGAGGAUGAUCAGUCACACUGGAACUGAGACACGGUCCAGACUCCUACGGGAGGCAGCAGUGGGGAAUAUUGGACAAUGGGCGAAAGCCUGAUCCAGCCAUGCCGCGUGUGUGAAGAAGGUUUUCGGAUUGUAAAGCACUUUAAGUUGGGAGGAAGGGCAGUAAGUUAAUACCUUGCUGUUUUGACGUUACCAACAGAAUAAGCGCCGGCUAACUUCGUG
rnacentral:rRNA from 1 species